GACGAGGGGUCCAAGCGUUGUUCGGAAUCAUUGGGCGUAAAGAGCUCGUAGGCGGCUUGUCGCGUCGGUUGUGAAAGCCCGGGGCUUAACCCCGGGUCUGCAGUCGAUACGGGCAGGCUAGAGUUCGGUAGGGGAGAUCGGAAUUCCUGGUGUAGCGGUGAAAUGCGCAGAUAUCAGGAGGAACACCGGUGGCGAAGGCGGAUCUCUGGGCCGAUACUGACGCUGAGGAGCGAAAGCGUGGGGAGCGAACAGG
rnacentral:rRNA from 1 species